rnacentral:rRNA from 1 species
ACUCAAAGGAAUUGACGGGGGCCCGCACAAGCAGCGGAGCGUGUGGUUUAAUUCGAGGCUACACGAAGAACCUUACCUGGGUUGGACAUGGCAGUGGUAGGAACCUGAAAGGGAACCGACCUUCGGGAGCUGUCACAGGUGCUGCAUGGCUGUCGUCAGCUCGUGUCGUGAGAUGUUCGGUUAAGUCCGAAAACGAGCGCAACCCCUAGUGUGCGUUACACGUGUCGCACGCGACUGCCCGUGACAAACGGGAGGAAGGUGGGGAUGACGUCAAGUCAGCAUGGCCUUUAUAUCCAGGGCUACACACACGCUACAAUGGUCGGUACAACGGGACGCGAAACCGCGAGGGGGAGCCAAUCCCACAAAGCCGAUCGUAGUUCGGAUUGCAGGCUGCAACUCGCCUGCAUGAAGCUGGAGUUGCUAGUAACCGCGCGUCAGCCAUAGUGCGGUGAAUACGUUCCCGGGCCUUGUACACACCGCCCGU